GAUGCUACUAAAACUGGAAGAAAGUCUUCUUCAUCUGUAAGCUUGGCUCACUCCUAAGCCUUUCUACAUGUGAGCAAAGACAGGUUCUUCCACUGUCUCUGAAGAAUUUUCUCUGUAAUCCAGGCAAAGCUGAAGUUUCUCAGCAACAGCUAUUCUUCACCCCAAGGCCCUUCUCACAUCUGCAGCUCACUGCAAAAGCCAAGAAGGGAUCUGUGGAAAUUUGACUAGAGUGAUUUUGUUCCUUUGCCAGUUUGAGCCCCGAGAAGCUGAGCAGAAUGCAGCUCAUCCCACAUUAAGGUUGUGUGAGUAAUCCUAUAGCAACAGCAAACAAAUACAGUGAGAAUGAAAUUCCCUUUGCUGUGAAGUCCUGCUGAAAGCAGAAUGGGAAGCAACGCAAGAGGAAUACCCAGCUCCCUAAAAACCAGCCUCUUGGCAAUAAAUUCCUAGCAUCUCCCUAUGGUGGGAUUUGCAGAGAUACCUCUCUCCCAGAGCAUGAAUCUGAGCAAGAGGAAGUUGCCACAUAAAUCUCUGAUGCCAUCUUUCCUGAGAAUUGUUCUUCAAGGGAGUUUUAAAAGCAACCAGGCAACUGAAUUAUCUCUUCUACAUAAGAGGGUGAACUUGAAUUUGCUCAUUCUCCUCUCUCUUGGGCAGCAGCCUUUGUCUCCUCUAUUCAGGAAGGGAUGCUGACCACACCUUGGGAAGGGCCAAAACCAACCCAAAUCAAGAGAAGCAAAGACUCUUCACAUACUUGGCCAGUGCUGGCAGGGGGCAGGGGCAGGGCUGGCAGAACGUGGGCACUCCGCUGACAGCGUCACCAAUGAAGCCAUCCGGACACUGCUCGCAGUGCUGUCCUGUUGUGUUUCUCUGGCAGUCCUGCAGUGGAAAGAGACACAACAGUGAAAGAUAAACAGAGGUGCUGCCUGAUUCAGAGAUAUUUUAGCUGAAGACUUGGCCAAGCAGAAGAUGCCAGACCUUGACCUUUCAAGGUGUUGACAGAUUCAGGCAAAUAAGCUAACACACCUGCAAAUAAAAAUACUAUAAACAAUUACAAUGACCAGCAGCAAGGAUUGGCAAGGUGUAGUACAAGACAAAACAGACAUAUGAGGCUGGCAGGUGCUGGAGCAGAAAUGUCAGAGCUACUCAGGUGUAGCUGCCAGCCCUGUUUUGAACUGCAUGUGCCAGAAGGGAAAAUUCCUUUUAAUGACUCCAAAAC